GGGUAACGGUCGCGAGAGGCCGCUUGCCUGACCCUGACAUCGGCAGCGGGAGCAGCGGCCAGACUCUCUUGGAAGUUUAGGAUAUUUCACAGUUCUGAAUGUUAGCCACUGAAAAUGCCAGUAGAAGAUGAAGCCUCUGAAGAUGACACGGAUUCACUUUCCUCAAACAGUCCAAGAACCUUUAUUUUCCAAUAAGAGAAUAUAACAAUUUCUGUACACUAUGGAAGAGUUUGACUUGGUGAAAACCUUACACAAAACUUCAUCUUCUGUAGAAUCUGAUAAAAAUUCUCUUCAUUCUCUUGGACUGAACUUAAAUACUGAAAGAAGUAGUCCCCACCUUAGUACAAAUGGGGUAUCCUCUUUCUCAGGGAAGACCAGACCAUCUGUAAUUCAAGACCAGGUGGUUACAGCUAUUCAAUUUGGUGGAAAAACAAUGCCAAGAACAGAUAGUUGCCCAGCAGGAGCAGUUCCACAACCAAAUUCAACAUAUACAGGAGGAGAUAAAAAAUUUAGUCAAAUUACAGACUAGUAGUGCUUCCUUGGCUUCCUGUGAAGGAGAUUCUUCAAACAAAC
rnacentral:sRNA from 1 species